rnacentral:piRNA from 2 species
UAAGUUCCUCUAUCCCCUUCAGUUGC